rnacentral:ncRNA from 1 species
CAAAACUCUGGAGAGUCUCUUUAAAAGAGCGCCGAAGGUGUACCCCCUGUUUUCAGGGCUAUCUCUCAGGCAAAAGGACAGAGCAG